GCCGCGUCGGCAUCCAGGGCAGGGAGCCGCCGGCCCCGGCUCCGGACGGGGAGGCGCUGGCCCGGCCCGGCCCGGCCCGGCUCCGCUCGGGAAUGCCCCGGCAGGAAGGUGCCAGGGGUACCCGCAGCUCCGGGACUGUCGGGAACUCGCAGCUUGGCUCCCGCCCAUCGCGCUCGUCCCGCAGGGAAAAUCCCCGGCUCCGGAUCGGUAGCAGGGGUGAAACCUCCCAGAACGGGUCCCAAGGGCGCUGUGAAGGCUCUCGGUGCUGCAGCUUUUCUAUUCCAUUGGCAGAGAUUAUUUUACCUAGCCUUCAGGCGCGAUCAGAACUAAUGAACUCCCCGAGUUAAAGCUGCCCACGAUGCCCGUGCAGCCCUUGUCUGAGCAAGGGAAUCUUCUGAUUUCCCACUCUGAUCCAUGGGAAUUUAACACCCCUUCCCACUGGCACUGGAGAAUCCACAAAGCCGGCUCGCUUCCCUUUUGCUCCCUUGGUGCUUCAGGAUUACCAGGAAAAAGAAAUAAAGGCCCUUUAAAAAAUUGCACCAAAGAGGACUUGGCUGUUGGAGAGUUCCAGGGUUUCUCCUGCAAGGCAGUUUCUCUGAUUAGUUUUUCUCUGUCUUUAGAACAGAGAGUUGUGUUUAAGAGUAUUCCUCGUGGAGAAACAAACUGCGCUUUAGGAAACCUGGGAUCCAGAGGGGAAUGGAGACUCCCUUGGAUGUUUUGUCGAGAGCAGCAUCUCUGGUCCAUGCUGAUGAUGAGAAACAAAUUGUAGUUCCUGAUCUCAGAGCUGUGUGACCAUUGCUGCUGCUGAAGCCCAGCGUGUUCCCGGCAGGAGCUGCUCCCUGAACAGUGGCUCAGCUUCUCAUGACUCCCAACAGAUGUUUUGCCUUUAAAGGUCACUUAAACUUUCUGUCCAGGCUGGCUCCUCGCUGCCCAGAGCGUGCCAGCAGAGUUCAGAGCUGGAAUGGGGGCUGACAUCAGCAAUGAAAUGUCAUGGAUUUCUUGUUCAAUUUGUAGUUACCCAACCAAACCCCAGCAGCUGGCAGAGCACGGCUUGGAUUUCUUGUUCAAUUUGUAGUUACCCAACCAAACCCCAGCAGCUGGCAGAGCACGGCUCAAAAUGCUCCUUCCAUGGCAAAACAGGGAUGCUGUGAGCACCUGGGACAUGGUUCAAAAUGUUCCUUCCAUGGCAAAACAGGGAUUCUGUGAGCACCUGGGACAUGGUUCAAAAUGUUCCUUCCAUGGCAAAACAGGGAUUCUGUGAGCACCUGGGACAUGGUUCAAAAUGUUCCUUCCAUGGCAAAACAGGGAUGCUGUGAGCACCUGGGAUGUGGUUCAAAAUGCUCCUUCCAUGGUAAAACAGGGAUUCUGUGAACACCUGGGAUGUGGUGGGCUUCUCAAUGGCUUAAGACAAUCUCUGGAGUUCCAAGGGCUUGAUUUUUGCAAGGCUUCAAGAUGAAAUUUAUCCAUUUAUAGGUGGAGCAGAGGCAACCUGGCAAACCCACAUGACGAUGCAGAACCAUGCUGUAAUAAAAUCCUGAAUGUUGUUAUAUCUGCCUGCA
rnacentral:lncRNA from 1 species